GAAUAUUUCAUUGUUUUUUUCUUUCAUAUUCGUACUUAAAUACGCAUUUGUAUAUGUGUAUAUAUAUAAAUGCUUGUGAAUUUGCUUAGAUUGCGACUUAUAUUCAAUAACAAUUUUUGUCGGUCGUCAAUCUCCUUCUUUAAGCUUAAGCACUCUACCGAAUUUAAUAAAGUAUAUGAAAGUGUGUGUCUGUGCGUUUGUAUGUAUACAUAUUUAAAAUAAAUAAAUAAAUGCUCAUUUACUUAGUUCGCAACGUUUAUAUGAAUAAAAAGAUGUAACUUUAAACGACAUGAUUUAAGGAUAUAAAAAAAAAAAAGAAGCAAGAAGCCAGCAGCACUCUACAUACUCAUACUUAAGCAAACAUUUCAGUUGGAACAGAAAACAGAGCUGUAAAGAGAUGAAAAAUUAUAAAAAACGAACUGACAGCAAUACACACAUAUAAGUAUACGGCACAGACGAUCGCAUUAAAGGACGUUUUUGAAGCCGGAUCUCAGGAAUGUAGCUAAAAGUUCAUAGACCGAAGAGAUUUACUUUAUUGUGUCAAACUGGACAUCAAGAUAACUUUAAUGCGCAAACGUUUCUAGAUACAUCUCACACUUGUUAUAUGUGAACGGCGCUAAAUUAAAGUUCUCAAAUGCUAUUCAAUUUCAGCGUUUAGCAAUAGAGUUGAUUGUCUUUAAAAAUAUGACUACAGAUUUUUAUGUAAAAGAAUUCAAUUUAUAGAAAAGUUUGAUUCGAAUAAAAAUCAUGGCCAUGCAUAAUACAAUGUUUUCCGGGGCGACAGCCAAAUUCCAAACUCGACCGGCCUCACCACAAUUUGCCAACUUCUCACCACCCGUUGAUUAUCCUCAUGUGCAAACUCAAAUACCUUCUGAUCGCGGUUUGGCAUCCCAUCAUCACCAUCAUCAGGUAUUUGGUCAGCAGCCGAUACAGCAUCAGCAGCAACAAAAACAGCAACAACAACAUGCCUCUUUGUCGAUGUCGAUGCGUCAACCAAUAAAAACGUUGAAAGCAAGGUCGGCAUCAUCUUCUUCCGGUCAUCACGUGACUACUUCGAUGGGUAUUGGUAUGAUGUCACCCAUGUCUGGAGGAAGCUUGGGUCAUCAUCGAGGUGAUUUAAUAUUUCCUGAUGAUGUAGACAGCAUUGAAUUUUGUCUACCACCACCGCCAGCUCCCUCCAAUGAAAUGGCUCACGGCAUGAGCAAUGAGCUAUUGUUAGUGCAUGGGCAUAAUGGUUUAUGUGCCGGAGAUCCUUUCCCCGAACGGCGAAGAAGAGGACAUGGCAGACGUAGCAACCAUAAAAUGGAUGUAGAGCAUCAGGUAAACGUUAAAUGGUCUCGUAAAAAUAUUGCUGCUACGAUGGAACGUUUUGAACCCACACAACAUCAUUCGUCUUCAUCCACUUCUUCGUUGGAGUAUGGUUUCGCUGCCAGCGUAGUUACACCCUCUUCAACUCCUUCACAUCAUUCACAGCAGCAAAUAUCUCCAGCCCCCUCACAAACGUACCACGGUGUUGCUGGUGCCACAGCACCUUAUAAUCAUGUUUACUCAUAUGCUUAUUAUGAACCUGGGGCAAUUAAGUGUCAUACAAAUAUACCACAGAAGGAUGGACCUACUGCCAUAAUGCCAGCUUCCUCGGCUAUCGCUGGCACCUCCAAAAGUCCGCCACGCAAUUCAAUAAGAGCUCUAUUGGCCAAAAGUUUUCGUUCCAAAUCCAGUAACGGUCAGUCUACCUCCUCUUCGCCCAGUGCUGAUGACAGACAUACCUAUACCACCCGUUAUGGCACCACCGAAAAUCUUUACGAGGAAGUCAAUGAUCAAAAAAUACGUAAAGUGCUAUCGGAUAAUCGAAUAGCCACUACAAAUGUUAAGGAAGAAUUGCGAAGAGUUCAACAUAAUCAUUUUCGAGUCUUAGACGAGCUCAACCUUUCAUUAGAAGCUUUGAUUAUGCCCCAAACGCCACCUGAUGUUAGUCCCAAUCAAGUUGAAGAUGAUGAGGGUCCCACGACAAGCGCUGCAGCUGUUGCGGCAAUCGCUUCUUCUAGCACUGGAACUUCAGCGGUCGGUUUACAAAGACCACGCCGUGGAGGCCUAUUAGGUGGAGCAUCUUCAUCAUCGUCGACAGUGUCGUCGUCACAACAACGUACUUUGUCUCACGCUAGUUUGGAAAAUUUGUCCUCAACUCUCAACUCCAUUGAACUUAAAGAUCACGCUCACAGUUCGUGCAUUAAUCCUGAGUUUGAUGAGGGUGACCUGGACAGUGGCUUUAGCGGUAGCGGCAGCAGCAGCGGAGCCAGUUAUAAUGAAAGUUUACGUUAUUAUAAAACCGGUUCAGCUAACACUCAUCAACAACAUCCGCAACAUCAGACACAACCACAGCAUCUUCAGACCACCACAUUACCAAACAAUAUACGCAGUUACCGAUCAUCGACUGCUUCCGGUACCUCAACCUCCAAAAGUAGUAUGGCUUCGUCCGAGGAUCAAGGCAUUGGUAUGAUGACUUCAUUAGGCGGCUGCGCUGCUGCCACCCUUGUAACAUCACCCGCCAAUGGCAGUGGUGCAAUAGCAUCACCUUUCAACUAUGUGCGCCGCUGCACUGAUACACAGCGAGCGUCAAUGCGUUCAGUUUCUGCCGCCUCAGCGACGGGUGCAAAACCGAAAAAAAACUUUUGGAAAAUAAAACCGUGAUGCUGCAAAAAAGCAUUACGAAAAUUCUGUAAGAAAUGGAGUAUUGUGGUGGCAUACAAUACAAAGACUGCCUUAUAUGAAGAUAUAAAAUAUCAAUAUACCGACAUUAUAUUAACCAGCAGCUACUUGGACCCACUGGAAGAGUGUCUGCGUCCCAUAUUUCAGCAUACCUAUGAAUAAUUAAGCUACAUAUGUAAGUGGAUGUAAACGUAAGUUCAUUAUUACAAAAGAGCACAUUUUUCCAAUUGUUGCAUAAAAGAAAUCAAACUUGUACUGUUGUUAACUGGCACCGAUACGGAAAAUUGACUCUUAAUAGAUUUAAAAGUGUAAUUACUGCUAUAGCCCACUUAAGGAUGCAUUAAAAACUUAAAUACGUAUAUUUGCAUUACAUCAAAUAGAAAAGCGAAGCAAACAAAUAACUGAUAAGUAUGUAAUUAAAACUGCAUUUAAAAAAAAUAAACGCAAAACUAAAUAAUAAAAAAAAAAAAAGAAAAAACUGAAACUAAUACUGCCGUCUAUAGGAAACUAUUUACACGACAUGGAUAGACAUGCCCGUGUUUGUGUACACGCCUUUAUGUAUACUUCCGUGUGUGUGUGUGUGUG